rnacentral:rRNA from 1 species
GACGAACGCUGGCGGCGUGCUUAACACAUGCAAGUCGAACGGAAAGGCCCUGCUUUUGUGGGGUGCUCGAGUGGCGAACGGGUGAGUAACACGUGUGUAACCUGCCCCUGACUUUGGGAUAACUUCAGGAAACUGGGGCUUAUACCGGAUAGGAGCUCCUGCUGCUUGGUGGGGGUUGGAAAGUUUCGGCGGUUGGGGAUGGACUCGCGGCUUAUCAGCUUGUUGGUGGGGUAGUGGCUUACCAAGGCUUUGACGGGUAGCCGGCCUGAGCGGGUGACCGGCCACAUUGGGACGGAGAUACGGCCAAGACUCCUACGGGAGGCAGAAGUGGGGAGUAUUGCACAAUGGGCGGAAGCCUGAUGCAGCAACGCCACGUGCGGGAUGACGGCCUUCGGGUUGUAAACCGCUUUCGCAUGUGACGAAGCGUGAGUGACGGUAAUGAGUAAAGAAGCACCGGCUAACUACGUG